UCCUCCUAUACAACUCUCAACCCAAAAUCCCAAACCGAUUUCUCUGUUGGGGGUGCUAAAUGGUUCAUUAGGCGUCCGGUCGGGGGUACGCGCGGAAAAGGGAAGCGCCCGUCUUAUUAAAUAAUGGUUACUCUUCUCGUCCGCCGCUUUUGCUCGGCUUCUGCUGCUCAAAAAGUUUUUGGCGGGAAUAGAAAAUAGCCGAGAAAAGAAGAAUGCACUAAAUUCAAUCACGUCGUCUUCUGCUCUUUUUCCUCGUC
ensembl:ncRNA F58H1.20 ncRNA